GACGAAGGGGGCUAGCGUUGUUCGGAAUUACUGGGCGUAAAGGGCUCGUAGGCGGCCAACUAAGUCACACGUGAAAUCCCCAGGCUUAACCUGGGAACUGCGUGUGAUACUGGAUGGCUUGAAUUCGGGAGAGGGAUGCAGAAUUCCAGGUGUAGCGGUGAAAUGCGUAGAUAUCUGGAGGAAUACCGGUGGCGAAGGCGGCAUCCUGGACCGACAUUGACGCUGAGGAGCGAAAGCUAGGGGAGCAAACGGG
rnacentral:rRNA from 1 species